AUGGCUCAGGAUGAACGCUAGCUACAGGCUUAACACAUGCAAGUCGAGGGGCAGCAUUGGAGUAGCAAUACUCAGAUGGCGACCGGCGCACGGGUGAGUAACACGUAUCCAACCUGCCGCUUACUCGGGGAUAGCCUUUCGAAAGAAAGAUUAAUACCCGAUGGUAUAAAGAGUUCGCAUGUUCUCUUUAUUAAAGAAUUUCGGUAAGCGAUGGGGAUGCGUUCCAUUAGAUAGUUGGCGGGGUAACGGCCCACCAAGUCUACGAUGGAUAGGGGUUCUGAGAGGAAGGUCCCCCACAUUGGAACUGAGACACGGUCCAAACUCCUACGGGAGGCAGCAGUGAGGAAUAUUGGUCAAUGGACGAGAGUCUGAACCAGCCAAAGUAGCGUGAAGGAUGACUGCCCUAUGGGUUGUAAACUUCUUUUAUAAGGGAAUAAAGUGAGGGACGUGUCCCUUUUUGUAUGUACCUUAUGAAUAAGGAUCGGCUAACUCCGUGCCAGCCGCCGC
rnacentral:rRNA from 1 species